AAUCAAGAAACUUUGAGUGGGUCAGACCAGAGGAUAUAUUAAAAGAAGAUACACCACUCUCCUCCAUGGUAUUUCAGAAUUUCACACAUCCUGUUGUGAAGCCUAUCUUAGACAGGAGGUAUUUUCUUCAAAAGAAUACAGUGGGGACAACAGAAGAAAGGAUAUGCAAAUCAG